UUGACCCCCUUCUUCUUCUUCUUUUUUUUUUUUUGGUAAAGAGAAUGGAGAGGAUGGGUUGGCACUAAAUAAAUGCAGAUAAUUAUAAGGUGUGGUUAGAGUUCAAAUUAUAGGAAUGAUCCUUUCUAUUCCAGGAUUAAUAACCAGCCAGAGCUAUUGACUAGGUGAGCGCUGGAAAGGGGAAUCCAGGGUGAUGCUCCCUGACGGGUGUGGAUCAUAGGGUUGACAGUAACUAGGUCAACAGUCAUUAGGUUGACCACUAUUGGUCGCCAGUGAUUAGGUCGACACGGUCAUUAGGUCGACACGGGAAAAGUCGACAUGGGGUUAAAAAAAAAUUGGGUGUCGUUUCCUUCGUAAAGUGACCGGGAUCCCCAAUUAGUGCACCGUAUCCCCUCACAUCGGCGAGCGAACGUUGGGCGAGGUGCCUCACUCCACUGCCGCUGCGCUUGGCAGAGGUUUCUAUUCCCAGUCGUAGUCCACGUGGAUCGUAAAGUAUGAAAAAGUAAAAAAAAAAAAAGUGGAAUACUCAUGUCGACCUUUGUCCAUGUCGACAUAGUGACCAUGUCGAAAAAUAGACCAUGUCGACCUAAUGAGUGUCGACCUAAGUGCUGUCGACCUAAAGACCGGAUGCCCUCCCUGACCAGAUUGGACAUGACCCCCCAAAAUCUAAAUAAAAUGUUUGAUUUUGAAGUGAAACUUAAACUAGUAUACUAGGCAAUUUGUAUUCACAAAGAAUGAGCCCCUGGAGGAGUGUGUGCGCAAGUUAUAUGACGCACAUAUUACGCCGCGGUUUAAUAUUUCAGUCAUUCACUUCAGUCCCUGCACCAGUGGAGCUUACAAUCUAUAUUCCCUAAUAUAUGGACACGCACAAGGGUUUUUUAUUUGUCAGAAGCCAAUUAACCGACAAGUAUUUUUAUUUUUUAGGUGUGUAGGAGGAAACCGGAGAACACGUAGAAACCCAUGCAAAUAUGAAUGCUUUCUGGAUAACCAUACAAUGAAUCAGGAGCUUGAUCACGGUAUACUUCUUAGUAAUGGCAUAUCUUCCUGAAAGUUCCUCUCACGUGCUUAGUCAUUGACUUGAAACAAUAAUAAACCUGUGAGCCACAUGUUAGGCUAGAGCAGUUUUUCCUCUGUGGUUGUUUACAUAUCACAUUUUUCCAAACAUAGAUCAGAGCAGAUAGAACAAAGGUUUUCUAUUAUUUUCUUUGCUUUGGGAAAACAUAAGGAACGACAUCACACGUUUUAGAAGUACACAACUCCCAGUAAAAAUGUAAAUUUGGUUGAAGUUCUUAAAAAACAAACAAAAAAAUAAAUAAAUUGAACAAC